GGCUUAGUGGUCUAGUAGUAUGAUACCCGCUUCGGGCUUUGCCCUGGAUUUUAUCCAUUGACUGCGGGUGGUCCCGGGUUCAAUUCCCGGCUGAGCCC